CGGUGUCUCAACCUAUUUCCAAACUGCGAAAUCUCUUGCUAUAGAAAUCUGCCUCGCCGGAGAGAUCUAUUAGAUUAAAUGUCGUGAGUGGGCUUGUAUCGGUAAGCGAUUCAGGCGAUAAGGGAUGAACCUAAUGUGCAGGUAAGGUGCCUAAGAUAUUAUCAAUAAUACCAUUAAGGGAGUCUCUGUAUAUAGACAGCAGGUCGGUGUCCCUAAAAGCAGGCAUCCGUUAAUGAGUGUGUUAAAACUCCCCUGCCGAAUACUCGGGCCUCGAAAAUGGAUGGCGUAUAUAAUAUCACCGAUACUGCGCCGACGACUGACUGUCGUCGAGUAGGAAGACAUGGGAAUUCCAGUGACGGCAUACACGAGAGGAGUGCUAGAGGAAUUUCUAUUGCAGAUCUUAAUUGAAGUAGCGUUUAUCCAGGCUGAUAUCCUGGAGGCUGAUGAGGAGUAAGGUUUCUGGGCAACUUAAACAGACCCAGAGUUAGUCGAUCCUAACCGUGAAAUUCGGGAAAGGGUAUAUAGUUGAUAUUCUAUAACUAUAAUUGUUAUGCGGCGACGCAUUUAUAACAUCUCCACUUGAUCAUCACCGUAUGGUAGGGAUUUCUUUCCUAUAUAACCGAAUUUAUACUCCGAGAAUCAGGUCAGCUGGAGAACAGUAGUAUAAUUUGGGCAAAAUUUCCAUUUGGAAGUUUCUGGGUGUUGGUCAAGUCCAUGAAGUGAUGUUAUAACUAACAAUAUAAUCGUACUGAUAACCGCAUCAGGUCUCCGAGGUGAGAAGCCUAUGGCUUUAGGGGCGGCAUAGUUUAGGGAAUUCGGCCAAUUGGACCUGUAACUUCGGAAUAAAGGUUGGCUCUGGAGGUAUCCAGAACCGAUAGUUACAAGGGAAGCCCAACUGUUUAAUAAAAACGCAGCCUUGCGCUUGUUUCGAUUUGGAAUAUGUACGCAAGGUGAAUCCUGCUCAGUGCUGUGCCUGUUAAUAUGGAUCAACCCAACGAAGCACCGGUAAAUAGCUAGGGUAACUAUGACUCUUAUCAAAGUAGCAAAAUACCUCGUCACCUAAUUAGUGACGCGCAUGAACGGAGCUAUGAGGUUUCUACUGUCCCAAACUAUGUCCCCGCGAACCAUCAGAAGUGGGAACGGGCACUUGAUAUCCAGCGGGGAAAGAAGACCCUGUAGAGCUUCACUGUGGUCUGAUCUUGUGUGAUUUCUUUUGGGGCGCAGUCUAGGUGGGAGAGAAAUCAAGCUUGAGAAACCACUACCCGGUUUGAAAUUACGCUUAUCUACAGGAGAUAGGGUUAGAUAGCCAGUUUGGCUGGGGCGGCACACCUUCGAAAAUGCAGCGAAGGUGUUCUAAGUUGAGCUCAAUGAGGACAGAAAUCUCAUAUUGAGGAUAAGGCCAAAUGCUCAAUUUACUGUGCCUUUUUGUACUAGGAUCAGUUCCGAAAGGAAGGCCUAACGAUCCCUAAUUAGUAUCAGGGCGUGAUACUUGGGGUGACAGACAAGUUACCUCCGGGACAACUGGCUUGUGGCUGCUAAGAGAUCAAAUCGACGUAGCUUUUUGAUUCUUCGAUGUCGGCUCUUCCUAUCCUACGGUUGUAUAAGAUCGUAAGGGUUGGAUUGUUCACCCGCCCUAGGGAUCGUGAGCUGGGUUUAGACCGUCGUGAGCCAGGUUUGUUUUAUCCUACUGGAUAUUCCAUCAUAAUAGUAGUUUGAUUAAGUACGAGAGGAACUGUUGAAUCUAGCCUCUGGUUAGCAAUUAUGUGAAAGCAUAUGUUGCAGAGCUAAGCUGUCUGAGAUAAUGACUGAAGGCCUCUUAAGUCAGAACCUCAUCUAGAAAGUGAUGGUUGGAAGGUGCUCUACUGUAGAUUAGUUAGAGAAAGUAGUUGCCUUCUACAUAACUCAAUGUAUAAUACAUUGUGCCAACAAGGGUCCUGUAAGUGUUAG
rnacentral:rRNA from 1 species